GACGAACGCUGGCGGCGUGCUUAACACAUGCCAGUCGAACGGAAAGGCCCUGCUUUUGUGGGGUGCUCGAGUGGCGAACGGGUGAGUAACACGUGAGUAACCUGCCCUUGACUUUGGGAUAACUUCAGGAAACUGGGGCUAAUACCGGAUAGGAGCUCCUGCUGCAUGGUGGGGGUUGGAAAGUUUCGGCGGUUGGGGAUGGACUCGCGGCUUAUCAGCUUGUUGGUGGGGUAGUGGCUUACCAAGUCUUUGACGGGUAGCCGGCCUGAGAGGGUGACCGGCCACAUUGGGCCUGAGAUACGGCCCAGACUCCUACGGGAGGCAGCAGUGGGGAGUAUUGCACAAUGGGGGGAAGCCUGAUGCAGCAACGCCGCGUGCGUGAUGACGGCCUUCGGGUUGUGAACCGCUUUCGCCUGUGACGAAGCGUGAGUGACGGUAAUGGGUAAAGAAGCACCGGCUAACUACGUG
rnacentral:rRNA from 1 species